UUGAACGCUGGCGGCAGGCCUAACACAUGCAAGUCGAACGGUAACAGGAAACAGCUUGCUGUUUCGCUGACGAGUGGCGGACGGGUGAGUAAUGUCUGGGAAACUGCCUGAUGGAGGGGGAUAACUACUGGAAACGGUAGCUAAUACCGCAUAACGUCGCAAGACCAAAGAGGGGGACCUUCGGGCCUCUUGCCAUCGGAUGUGCCCAGAUGGGAUUAGCUUGUUGGUGGGGUAACGGCUCACCAAGGCGACGAUCCCUAGCUGGUCUGAGAGGAUGACCAGCCACACUGGAACUGAGACACGGUCCAGACUCCUACGGGAGGCAGCAGUGGGGAAUAUUGCACAAUGGGCGCAAGCCUGAUGCAGCCAUGCCGCGUGUAUGAAGAAGGCCUUCGGGUUGUAAAGUACUUUCAGCGGGGAGGAAGGGAGUAAAGUUAAUACCUUUGCUCAUUGACGUUACCCGCAGAAGAAGCACCGGCUAACUCCGUGCCAGCAGCCGCGGUAAUACGGAGGGUGCAAGCGUUAAUCGGAAUUACUGGGCGUAAAGCGCACGCAGGCGGUUUGUUAAGUCAGAUGUGAAAUCCCCGGGCUCAACCUGGGAACUGCAUCUGAUACUGGCAAGCUUGAGUCUCGUAGAGGGGGGUAGAAUUCCAGGUGUAGCGGUGAAAUGCGUAGAGAUCUGGAGGAAUACCGGUGGCGAAGGCGGCCCCCUGGACGAAGACUGACGCUCAGGUGCGAAAGCGUGGGGAGCAAACAGGAUUAGAUACCCUGGUAGUCCACGCCGUAAACGAUGUCGACUUGGAGGUUGUGCCCUUGAGGCGUGGCUUCCGGAGCUAACGCGUUAAGUCGACCGCCUGGGGAGUACGGCCGCAAGGUUAAAACUCAAAUGAAUUGACGGGGGCCCGCACAAGCGGUGGAGCAUGUGGUUUAAUUCGAUGCAACGCGAAGAACCUUACCUGGUCUUGACAUCCACGGAAGUUUUCAGAGAUGAGAAUGUGCCUUCGGGAACCGUGAGACAGGUGCUGCAUGGCUGUCGUCAGCUCGUGUUGUGAAAUGUUGGGUUAAGUCCCGCAACGAGCGCAACCCUUAUCCUUUGUUGCCAGCGGUCCGGCCGGGAACUCAAAGGAGACUGCCAGUGAUAAACUGGAGGAAGGUGGGGAUGACGUCAAGUCAUCAUGGCCCUUACGACCAGGGCUACACACGUGCUACAAUGGCAUAUACAAAGAGAAGCGACCUCGCGAGAGCAAGCGGACCUCAUAAAGUAUGUCGUAGUCCGGAUUGGAGUCUGCAACUCGACUCCAUGAAGUCGGAAUCGCUAGUAAUCGUGGAUCAGAAUGCCACGGUGAAUACGUUCCCGGGCCUUGUACACACCGCCCGUCACACCAUGGGAGUGGGUUGCAAAAGAAGUAGGUAGCUUAACCUUCGGGAGGGCGCUUACCACUUUGUGAUUCAUGACUGGGGUG
rnacentral:rRNA from 1 species